rnacentral:rRNA from 1 species
GCGCGUGUCCUUCGCGAUGAAUCAGGGUGGAGCUCGGCGACGGCUGUCGCUGGAGACGGUCCUUGCUCAUCUGGAACCCUCAGAGACUGUACGCCAGACACCUCGCACGAGGUGAAGAUACAGUCCGAGCUUUCAGGCGACUGAAAGAGGCAGGCAGAAAUGACCUGCCCCCUCCCCUUCCAGGAGGAGUAACAACACUGUCGGUCCCUAUCCACCGCGGGCGCAGGAGACUUGAGGGGAGCUGCUCCUAGUACGAGAGGACCGGAGUGGACGGACCUCUGGUGUACCGGUUGUCCUGCCAAGGGCACGCGCCGGGUAGCCAUGUCCGGACGGGAUAAGCGCUGAAAGCAUCUAAGCGCGAAGCCCACCCCAAGACGAGGUCUCCCACCGGGUCAACCGGGUAAGCCCCCUGGGAGAUGACCAGGUUGAUAGGCCGGGGGUGUAAGCGCUGAGAGGCGUUGAGCCUACCGGUACUAAUCGGGCGAGGGCUUGAGCCC